rnacentral:rRNA from 1 species
GUGUGCCAGUUUGGGGGUAUACCCCGGUAGCGAUUAUACCGCAUACGACUACGGGUGAAGCGGGGACGCAGCCUCGCGCUANUGGAGCGCGAUGUCAGAUUAGGUAGUGUGGGUAAGGCUACCCAAGCCUACGAUCUGUAGCUGGUCUGAGAGGACGAACAGCACACUGGGGACUGAGACACGGCAAAACUCCCUACGGAGGCACAGUGGGGGAAUUUUGGACAUGGGGGGCAACCCCUUGAAUUCCAAGCCAUGCCCGGUGCGGGAAGAAGGCCUUCGGGGUUGUAAAACCCGCUUUUUGUCGGGGGAAGAAAUUCUUCUGAGCUAAUUACCUCGGGAGGAUGACGGUCACUCGAAAGAAUAAGCACCGGCUAAACUACGUGCCAGCAGCCGCGGGUAAUACCGUAGGUGCAAGCGUUAAUCGGAAUUACUGGGCGUAAAGCGUGCGCAGGCGGUCUUGCAAGCACCAGAUGUGAAAUCCCCGGGCUCAAACCUGGGAACUGCAUUUGUGACUGCAAGGCUGGAGUGCGGCAGAGGGGGAUGGAAUUCCGCGUGUAGCACGUGAAAUGCGUAAUAUGCGGAGGAACACCGAUGGCGAAA